rnacentral:rRNA from 1 species
GAUUCUGGCUCAGGAUGAACGCUGGCGGCGUGCCUAACACAUGCAAGUCGAGCGGUAUAUGUUAAACAAAUCUCGGAAGAGUGAGAGCAUAGAGAGCGGCGGACGGGUGAGUAACGCGUAGGCAACCUGCCCCAUACAGAGGGAUAGCCUCGGGAAACCGGGAUUAAAACCUCAUAACGCGAGAGAGUCACAUGGCUUUUUCGCCAAAGAUUUAUCGGUAUGGGAUGGGCCUGCGUCUGAUUAGCUAGUUGGUGGGGUAACGGCUCACCAAGGCAACGAUCAGUAGCCGACCUGAGAGGGUAAUCGGCCACAUUGGAACUGAGACACGGUCCAAACUCCUACGGGAGGCAGCAGUGGGGAAUAUUGCACAAUGGGCGAAAGCCUGAUGCAGCAACGCCGCGUGAGCGAUGAAGGCCUUUGGGUCGUAAAGCUCUGUCCUAGGGGAAGAAUAAAUGACGGUACCCUUGGAGGAAGCCCCGGCUAACUACGUGCCAGCCGCGGC